AACCCAUUGUUACAUUAUUAGACGGAAAGACCCCAAGAGCUUUUUUUGUGUUAGAUUUGUUUGGGGUAAAUGUAGAUUAUUCAUUUAUUUUCAGAUCCUUCGUGGAUAAAGGAUAAAGUUACCUUGGGGAUAACUGAGUAAAGGGCAGGGAGAGGUCCUAUUGAUCUGUUUAUUACUACCUCGAUGUUGGCUUGUUGAACCUUUUCGGUGUAGAGGCUGGAAAAGGAAGUCUGUUCGACUUUUAAAUCUUCAUGAGUUGAGUUAAGACCGGUGUAAGCCAGGUUGGUUCUUAUCUAUAAUUGGUUCUAAUUAGUACGAAAGGAUUAUUAGGAUACAGUGUUUCUGUACAUAUAGGAAUAGGGGGUAUACA
rnacentral:rRNA from 1 species